UCAAAUGCUACUAACUGUCAGUCGAACUGGAACGAUACACCACAACGAUCCUGCCCGGCGUGAUCGAUAUUCAACAGGUGACGACCGGUGCCUGUACUUCACGUUAGCAUAAGUCCCGUCGGCUCCGCUGCAGAGGAGAACAGCGAGAUGUGGCCCAGAGGCUCGAAGCCAAACCCCCCGAAGCGCUGGCCCGCGUACUCGCCCCCGGCACGACACUGCGAUACGAUGAUGACAGCUGGUUCGACCGGACGGACGCGGGGGCGCGCGAGCAGGGUGAAGCACUGCUGCAGAGGCUGUGAAGUCCAGAUGUGAUGAUGCACACUUACAUUGGAGUCAAGGAGAUCAAUGCUGUCCAAGCUCUUGCUCCGGUGGAUGCGGCCCUUGAUGCGGCGGAGUGAUGGCUUGCCCUGAAUGGUGCUCACUGAGGAGGCUGCUGUGACGGAGCCAGCGGUUGGGCUGGGGUGUAUCCUGAAGUCAACACGGAGGGAGCAUGAGGAGGAGGAGGACAAAGAGAAACCACAGCAGUACAUCAGGGCAAGUCAGUGCACACCCAGCACAGAAGGACAAAGUGCCACAGGCAAGACGGAAGAAGAGUAAGAAAAAAAACAAAAACACUUGUCACGCUUCUGCUUUUUAAAAUGCCACAGUCCCCCGCUGGAUAAAAUGGCAUUUAAAGAAAUCUAUAAUUGGAUUUAAUGUCACAGAGGCCCUGUAGGGGAGCUGGUUCAAGCUCAGGAAGCACUGCAGCUUCAGCCACUGAUGGCCUGCGCUGCUCCAUGGGGCUCACCAGUCAGACUGUGGCUGGUUCCUGGUGGGAUGUGCAUAAGAGGCCCAGUUGGCAGACCGAUCAUCGAUACUCUCAGGAAACGUUUUUCCCUUCACAAAUGACAUACUUAAUAAAUAACACCGAUAGAGCCCUGCUUAAACCCCUAUGCCUCUGAUUCACUUUGUUUUUCACAUGCGUUUACCUUGAAAUUAAUCAGCCGUGUGGGUACGAAUAAAUCUGGGCCAAAAUGAGAAUUAAGUUUAUCAAUCAGUCGAUCCAUCUAGCGCAAGGGGUCAGUUUGUAGACCAGCCACAUCUAUUGUCCUUAUCCACAGUGCAUAAACAGUUUAUCAGUAGCAAUUUUUAACAAGGCACCAUUUAAAAAGGGUUGAUAAAUUGUAAAUAAUGUGACUAAACCCUAAUUAAUAAUUGAUACAUAAAUUAUCAAUAUUUUGUAGAUCAAUUGAUAAGAAUCACUGGUAUUCCAAAUUUCUUUUUAGGAAAUACCUGGCUGGCAGGUGUUUAGCUCUUCUACUUGAAGAUAAUGCAGCUGUAAAUGUCCGUAAUCUAUUGAUAAUGCUGUUGGAAGUCACAUCCUAGUUGUUAAUGUUGUUAAUUGAUUAAUCAACCGGUUGAGGAGCUGAAAAGUAAUCAGCACCUUUUUUUGAUAAUUGAAUAAUCAUUUGUCAUAUUUUAAGCAACAAUACAAAAAUUUAAUUGGUUCCAGCUUUGAAGAUUGUUGGUGCUUUUCUGUGUUUUAUAUCGUUGUAAAUUGUAAAUCCUUGAGUUUGUCACUGCUGGCUGCACAAACUAUUUAAAUAAGAUGACAUUUGUUUUUUUGGAAAUGUAUCAAUUAUUUUCCCACUAUAUUCUGACAUUUAAAGACCAAAUGAAUUUUCUAUUAACAAAGAAUAUAAAAGGAAAAUACUUGUUCUGACAACAUUUGUGCCACAGAAGUAAUUAAGAAUAGAAUAAGCGGUUUGCCAUUAUUGUCCAUUAUUGUUCCUACAACAUGGUGUACCUCAGAUUUGUAUUAUUACCGCUUCUUCUCUUAUCCUCUUCUCUUCCUCUCUAUCACUCCAGUCCAUUCUCUCAUUGUCAUAUAGGACAGUCACUCUUAAUGAGGAUUUACCUAACACAAUAUUCAAUGAGGAAAAGAAUCCUGUCUGCACAGUGCAGCUCAGGGACAGUAGAUAUCCAUUAGCGUGCUCAGCAGCAGGCCGCCAGGAGCUCCUGAGGUUUGGAGACUCAGCAGGGGAAAUUAUGAGAGAGAGGAAUGAACAAAGAUGGGGGGAAAGAGAACGUCACCUUCCACUUUCUAUCUGCAUUAAUUCAAUAGCUGCCUGGAGCGCAGCAAGGUCCUUACUGGCUGCAAAUGCAAGGUAGAAGCCCCCUGCAAUGUGUGCAGUCAAUUACAGGCGACCUCAGAUUGUUCUCAUAAACAACACAACAAACAUGACUAAUGAGAAAAGCUGCUUGGACUGUAUCACGGGCCCGGUGCAGCCGUUCACAUUCAGAGGCUUGUUUCUUGGAUGUUGAUUCUGAAAUGGACUCGAGCCAAAACUCUCCAGGCCACAAAGGCAGAAUGUAACACGGUGCCAGCAACUGUGCCGACUCAGAGAUAAUGUGCACUGAAUGAUUUCACGUUGCCUCUUUGAUGAAUUCUCCUUCUUCGCUAUGAAAUAUGCACGUGUAAUGUGUUUCACUUGUGGUUUGACAAAAUAUAUAAAACUGUGACAUUGAA